rnacentral:rRNA from 1 species
UUAAGCGACUAAGCGUACACGGUGGAUGCCCUGGCAGUCAGAGGCGAUGAAGGGCGUGCUAAUCUGCGAUAAGCGCCGGUAAGGUGAUAUGAACCGUUAUAACCGGCGAUACCCGAAUGGGGAAACCCAGUGUGACUCGUCACACUAUCAUUACGUGAAUACAUAGCGUAAUGAAGCGAACCGGGGGAACUGAAACAUCUAAGUACCCCGAGGAAAAGAAAUCAACCGAGAUUCCCCCAGUAGCGGCGAGCGAACGGGGAGGAGCCCAGAGCCUGAAUCAGCAUGUGUGUUAGUGGAAGCGUCUGGAAAGGCGCGCGAUACAGGGUGACAGCCCCGUACACAAAAGCGCAUGUGCUGUGAGCUCGAUGAGUAGGGCGGGACACGUGGUAUCCUGUCUGAAUAUGGGGGGACCAUCCUCCAAGGCUAAAUACUCCUGACUGACCGAUAGUGAACCAGUACCGUGAGGGAAAGGCGAAAAGAACCCCGGCGAGGGGAGUGAAAAAGAACCUGAAACCGUGUACGUACAAGCAGUGGGAGCCCCACCACUAAGCCAGUGGUGAACUCCACAUACGCAUCCUUUGCUGAGGAUACGGUUAACGGAGCGAAAGCGACGUUCAACCUCAAAAGAAGCAGAGGGGGCUUAGUGGUGGGGUGACUGCGUACCUUUUGUAUAAUGGGUCAGCGACUUAUAUUCUGUAGCAAGGUUAACCGUAUAGGGGAGCCGCAGGGAAACCGAGUCUUAAUUGGGCGUUAAGUUGCAGGGUAUAGACCCGAAACCCGGUGAUCUAGCCAUGGGCAGGUUGAAGGUUGGGUAACACUAACUGGAGGACCGAACCGACUAAUGUUGAAAAAUUAGCGGAUGACCUGUGGCUGGGGGUGAAAGGCCAAUCAAACCGGGAGAUAGCUGGUUCUCCCCGAAAGCUAUUUAGGUAGCGCCUCGUGAAUUCAUCUCCGGGGGUAGAGCACUGUUUCGGCUAGGGGGCCAUCCCGGCUUACCAACCCGAUGCAAACUGCGAAUACCGGAGAAUGUUAUCACGGGAGACACACGGCGGGUGCUAACGUCCGUCGUGAAGAGGGAAACAACCCAGACCGCCAGCUAAGGUCCCAAAGUCAUGGUUAAGUGGGAAACGAUGUGGGAAGGCCCAGACAGCCAGGAUGUUGGCUUAGAAGCAGCCAUCAUUUAAAGAAAGCGUAAUAGCUCACUGGUCGAGUCGGCCUGCGCGGAAGAUGUAACGGGGCUAAACCAUGCACCGAAGCUGCGGCAGCGACGCUGAUGCGUUGUUGGGUAGGGGAGCGUUCUGUAAGCCUGCGAAGGUGGCCUGUGAGGGUUGCUGGAGGUAUCAGAAGUGCGAAUGCUGACAUAAGUAACGAUAAAGCGGGUGAAAAGCCCGCUCGCCGGAAGACCAAGGGUUCCUGUCCAACGUUAAUCGGGGCAGGGUGAGUCGACCCCUAAGGCGAGGCCGAAAGGCGUAGUCGAUGGGAAACGGGUUAAUAUUCCCGUACUUGGUGUUACUGCGAAGGGGGGACGGAGAAGGCUAUGUUGGCCGGGCGACGGUUGUCCCGGUUUAAGCGUGUAGGUGUGUGUUCCAGGUAAAUCCGGUUCACUUUAACACUGAGGCGUGACGACGAGGCACUACGGUGCUGAAGCAACAAAUGCCCUGCUUCCAGGAAAAGCCUCUAAGCAUCAGGUAACAUCAAAUCGUACCCCAAACCGACACAGGUGGUCAGGUAGAGAAUACCAAGGCGCUUGAGAGAACUCGGGUGAAGGAACUAGGCAAAAUGGUGCCGUAACUUCGGGAGAAGGCACGCUGACACGUAGGUGAAGUGAUUUACUCAUGGAGCUGAAGUCAGUCGAAGAUACCAGCUGGCUGCAACUGUUUAUUAAAAACACAGCACUGUGCAAACACGAAAGUGGACGUAUACGGUGUGACGCCUGCCCGGUGCCGGAAGGUUAAUUGAUGGGGUCAGCGCAAGCGAAGCUCCUGAUCGAAGCCCCGGUAAACGGCGGCCGUAACUAUAACGGUCCUAAGGUAGCGAAAUUCCUUGUCGGGUAAGUUCCGACCUGCACGAAUGGCGUAAUGAUGGCCAGGCUGUCUCCACCCGAGACUCAGUGAAAUUGAACUCGCUGUGAAGAUGCAGUGUACCCGCGGCAAGACGGAAAGACCCCGUGAACCUUUACUAUAGCUUGACACUGAACAUUGAGCCUUGAUGUGUAGGAUAGGUGGGAGGCUUUGAAGCGUGGACGCCAGUCUGCGUGGAGCCGACCUUGAAAUACCACCCUUUAAUGUUUGAUGUUCUAACGUGGACCCGUAAUCCGGGUUGCGGACAGUGUCUGGUGGGUAGUUUGACUGGGGCGGUCUCCUCCUAAAGAGUAACGGAGGAGCACGAAGGUUGGCUAAUCCUGGUCGGACAUCAGGAGGUUAGUGCAAUGGCAUAAGCCAGCUUGACUGCGAGCGUGACGGCGCGAGCAGGUGCGAAAGCAGGUCAUAGUGAUCCGGUGGUUCUGAAUGGAAGGGCCAUCGCUCAACGGAUAAAAGGUACUCCGGGGAUAACAGGCUGAUACCGCCCAAGAGUUCAUAUCGACGGCGGUGUUUGGCACCUCGAUGUCGGCUCAUCACAUCCUGGGGCUGAAGUAGGUCCCAAGGGUAUGGCUGUUCGCCAUUUAAAGUGGUACGCGAGCUGGGUUUAGAACGUCGUGAGACAGUUCGGUCCCUAUCUGCCGUGGGCGCUGGAGAACUGAGGGGGGCUGCUCCUAGUACGAGAGGACCGGAGUGGACGCAUCACUGGUGUUCGGGUUGUCAUGCCAAUGGCACUGCCCGGUAGCUAAAUGCGGAAGAGAUAAGUGCUGAAAGCAUCUAAGCACGAAACUUGCCCCGAGAUGAGUUCUCCCUGAGACUUAAAGUCUCCUGAAGGAACGUUGAAGACGACGACGUUGAUAGGCCGGGUGUGUAAGCGCAGCGAUGCGUUGAGCUAACCGGUACUAAUGAACCGUGAGGCUUAACCUU